UACGUAGGCAGCGAGCGUUGUUCGGAGUUACUGGGCGUAAAGGGUGUGUAGGCGGUUGUUUAAGUUUGGUGUGAAAUCUCCCGGCUCAACUGGGAGGGUGCGCCGAAUACUGAAUGACUUGGAGUGCGGGAGAGGAAAGUGGAAUUCCUGGUGUAGCGGUGAAAUGCGUAGAUAUCGAGAGGAACACCUGCGGCGAAGGCGGGUUGCUGGGCUGACACUGACGCUGAUGCGCGAAAGCUAGGGGAGCGAACGGG
rnacentral:rRNA from 1 species